AUGAAUUAUUUGCGUGCAUUCCGUUCUCGCCGUAGAUGCGCUGCAGUCAGUCAGUUUAGGUCUGAUUGUGCUUCCAUUUCGGAAGAGACAGAUUCAGGGGGUUUCAUCUGCGGUAAUAAUAUUGUGGAUAAUGAUCGAGAUGUCGAGAUUUCGAGGGUUCUCCCUCGGGAUGUUGUUGUUCCAGUUAAAUACAAUUCUGAAGUUGAGGUGUUUGUUUCUAAAGAGAAGAGGGAUAAGCUAUUUAUGCAGUCUUGCGCCUCGUCAAGGUCAAAUAUUGACAGCGAAGCUUUUGCUUUGAAAAAGUAUGAUAAAGUUCAAGAAAAUACCCAGUCCUUCCCUGUCGUGCAGGAGCCACCCAUCCGUGGAUGUGUGGUGGGGAGCAAAGAGGGUUCUAGAAAACCGUCUUCCUGUUCUCAUGAUCGUGACCUAGAGUAUAUAGAGGAGUACUAUGGCCAGUUAUGGUCCAUUCCUUCCCCUCCCCGCCGCCGCAGUAACCCUAGUUUGUCCCUACCCAAACCUCUCCCUCAUAUCUUCUGGAUUCAGAAAGAUCUUCAUGCUACUGGUGAAUUUACCCAUUCUUAUUGUCACCCUGCCACGCUGCGAUUUUCUGAUCCUAUUCCAAAAAAAUCCACAUUCCGUUGGAAGGGAUUGGUUCGAGAUCCCACUCGUUUUCUGAAGUUGUAA
rnacentral:rRNA from 1 species